rnacentral:rRNA from 1 species
UACGAAGGGUGCGAGCGUUGUUCGGAUUUAUUGGGCGUAAAGCGCGCGCAGGCGGAUAAAUAAGUCAGAUGUGAAAUCUCGAGGCCUAACCUCGAAACUGCGUCUGAAACUAUUUGUCUAGAAUGUUGGAGGGGGAAGGGGAAUUUCGCAUGUAGGGGUAAAAUCCGUAGAUAUGCGAAGGAACACCGGAGGCGAGAGCGCCUUCCUGGACAACUAUUGACGCUGAGGCGCGAAAGCGUGGGGAGCAAACAGG